CAGCAGCCGCGGGAAUACGUAGGGUGCGAGCGUCAAUCGGAAUUACUGGGCGUAAAGCGUGCGCAGGCGGUUAUAUAAGACAGAUGUGAAAUCCCCGGGCUCAACCUGGGACCUGCAUUUGUGACUGUAUAGCUAGAGUACGGUAGAGGGGGAUGGAAUUCCGCGUGUAGCAGUGAAAUGCGUAGAUAUGCGGAGGAACACCGAUGGCGAAGGUAAUCCCCUGGACCUGUACUGACGCUCAUGCACGAAAGCGUGGGGAGCAAACAGGAUUAGAUACCCCUGUAGUACCUGUCUCUUAUAC
rnacentral:rRNA from 1 species